GACGAACGCUGGCGGCGUGCUUAACACAUGCAAGUCGAACGGAGAGGCCCUGCUUUUGUGGGGUGCUCGAGUGGCGAACGGGUGAGUAACACGUGAGUAACCUGCCCUUGACUUUGGGAUAACUUCAGGAAACUGGGGCUAAUACCGGAUAGGAGCUCCUGCUGCAUGGUGGGGGUUGGAAAGUUUCGGCGGUUGGGGAUGGACUCGCGGCUUAUCAGCUUGUUGGUGGGGUAGUGGCUUACCAAGGCUUUGACGGGUAGCCGGCCUGAGAGGGUGACCGGCCACAUUGGGACUGAGAUACGGCCCAGACUCCUACGGGAGGCGGCAGUGGGGAAUAUUGCACAAUGGGCGGAAGCCUGAUGCAGCAACGCCGCGUGCGGGAUGACGGCCUUCGGGUUGUAAACCGCUUUCGCCUGUGACGAAGCGUGAGUGACGGUAAUGGGUAAAGAAGCACCGGCUAACUACGUGCCAGCAGCCGCGGUGAUACGUAGGGUGCGAGCGUUGUCCGGAUUUAUUGGGCGUAAAGGGCUCGUAGGUGGUUGAUCGCGUCGGAAGUGUAAUCUUGGGGCUUAACCCUGAGCGUGCUUUCGAUACGGGUUGACUUGAGGAAGGUAGGGGAGAAUGGAAUUCCUGGUGGAGCGGUGGAAUGCGCAGAUAUCAGGAGGAACACCAGUGGCGAAGGCGGUUCUCUGGGCCUUUCCUGACGCUGAGGAGCGAAAGCGUGGGGAGCGAACAGGCUUAGAUACCCUGGUAGUCCACGCUGUAAACGGUGGGUACUAGGUGUGGGGUCCAUUCCACGGGUUCCGUGCCGUAGCUAACGCUUUAAGUACCCCGCCUGGGGAGUACGGCCGCAAGGCUAAAACUCAAAGGAAUUGACGGGGCCCCGCACAAGCGGCGGAGCAUGCGGAUUAAUUCGAUGCAACGCGUAGAACCUUACCUGGGUUUGACAUGGAUCGGGAGUGCUCAGAGAUGGGUGUGCCUCUUUUGGGGUCGGUUCACAGGUGGUGCAUGGCUGUCGUCAGCUCGUGUCGUGAGAUGUUGGGUUAAGUCCCGCAACGAGCGCAACCCUUGUUCACUGUUGCCAGCACGUUAUGGUGGGGACUCAGUGGAGACCGCCGGGGUCAACUCGGAGGAAGGUGGGGAUGACGUCAAGUCAUCAUGCCCCUUAUGUCCAGGGCUUCACGCAUGCUACAAUGGCUGGUACAGAGAGUGGCGAGCCUGUGAGGGUGAGCGAAUCUCGGGAAGCCGGUCUCAGUUCGGAUUGGGGUCUGCAACUCGACCUCAUGAAGUCGGAGUCGCUAGUAAUCGCAGAUCAGCAACGCUGCGGUGAAUACGUUCCCGGGGCU
rnacentral:rRNA from 1 species